GUCUACGGCCAUACCACCCUGAACGCGCCUGAUCUCGUCUGAGCUCGGGAGCUAAGCAGGGUCGGGCCUGGUUAGUACUUGGAUGGGAGGAAGAUUGCUUCAUAGUUG
rnacentral:rRNA from 1 species